CGCUUGCCACCAUUCCCAUUUGAUUUAGUGACCCCCUAUUCUCCAAGCGCAAAUGUAGCACCAUUCAAACGAUUAUACGGAGAAAAUGAAAUUGCACUCUCAGAUGAAAGGAUUCCAUAAAUUCUUAGGUCAGUUUCAAUGGGAGUUUCAUGAGCAUUAAAUUUGUUACCACAUCAGCAAAAUUGCUGACUUGGCAAUCACAACAUUUAUGUGAUUGCCGUUUAUGAUCUACGCAAUUAGGCUUCCCUGUUCCUAGUCUUCACUCUUGAUUCUUGAAUCUCAGGUACAGUACAGAUCUUGAUCAUGUACUGCUUCAGUGCUCACAUGAUGAAAAGCACUUGCACUGUCUGCCAAUUACAGAGAAGCCUGAUUUGCAAGUAGUCAAAACUUCGCCUUUUCACAGUACAGUAAUACCUGAAAGUUGAGGUUUUUGACAGCAGGUAGUGACCUCUUACCGCAAUCCAUGCUUGUUGCUGAUCCUGCUCUGAUCGAUAACCUGCGCAAAGAAAUAGACCAUCACUUCGCCGUAUUGUGCAGAGCAGAGAUGUCAUUUGCGCACAGACAGACAGGCCCGCCGCGCGCUGAGCUGAGCUGAGAUCACGCGCUAUGUUAGACAAGGGCGUGACGGAGGCCGCGAUCACCAUCGGCGACGCGCCCAAAGCGCGGGCGAUUACCUCGGAGGAGAACGAGGGCCACGGCGACGAGGUGAUGUCGACACGCGCGCGCCAUGGGUCUACGCUGCGCACGCGGGGUAUUCCGCGGCGAAUAUAGGUGAGAAGGCGCCGGGCCGGAAAGAGUCAAGACCAAGUCAACGUGGAUCGCCUCGGAAUGCCCCACGUGUCGAAGGCGCCGCACCGGAAGGAGCCACUGGGGCACCGGUCAUGCUGUGGCUUCAAACACGGAGACGACGACCUGCGGUGGAGGCGCGGCGCAUGUGCACGAGGCUGUGGUCUCCGACGACUCUGGGCGCGAUGGCAGCAGUGAGCGGGCUGGGGAGAGUGUGCUGGACGCCCGGCCAGGAUGGAGUCGGUAUGCUCGGUUUCCU
rnacentral:lncRNA from 1 species